rnacentral:rRNA from 1 species
GAUGAACGCUGGCGGCGUGCUUAACACAUGCAAGUCGAACGAAGCAUUUAGAACAGAUUACUUCGGUUUGAAGUUCUUUAUGACUGAGUGGCGGACGGGUGAGUAACGCGUGGGUAACCUGCCUUGUACUGGGGGAUAGCAGCUGGAAACGGCUGGUAAUACCGCAUAAGCGCACAAUGUUGCAUGACAUGGUGUGAAAAACUCCGGUGGUAUAAGAUGGACCCGCGUCUGAUUAGCUAGUUGGUGAGAUAACAGCCCACCAAGGCGAUGAUCAGUAGCCGACCUGAGAGGGUGACCGGCCACAUUGGGACUGAGACACGGACCAGACUCCUACGGGAGGCAGCAGUGGGGAAUAUUGCACAAUGGAGGAAACUCUGAUGCAGCGACGCCGCGUGAGUGAAGAAGUAAUUCGUUAUGUAAAGCUCUAUCAGCAGGGAAGAUAGUGACGGUACCUGACUAAGAAGCUCCGGCUAAAUACGUGCCAGCAGCCGCAGUAACAC